UCUCCGUUGGUGAACCAGCGGAGGGAUCAUUACUGAGUUUACGCUCUGUAACCCUAUGUGAAUUAUACCUAUACCCGUUGCCUCGGCAUGGUUGGCUUCUUAGAAGUCCCUUUUACCCAAAAGGAGCAGACCUGCCGGUGGCCCUAUAAACUCUAUGUUUUUUGUACAUCAUCUGAGUAACAACUAAAAAAAAAUGAAUCAAAACUUUCAACAACGGAUCUCUUGGUUCUGGCAUCGAUGAAGAACGCAGC
rnacentral:misc_RNA from 1 species